rnacentral:lncRNA from 1 species
CAUUUAUCUCUCUCCGUGUUGAAAAAUUAUUUUCUUUAGAUAUAAUAAGGAUGAGCUUCGUCUCCGUUUAGGGAUUGGCUUCUUUGAUGGUCUGUGCUCGUACUUUAAUUUUACAGAUCAUUGUUAGCAAACUUAAAUUGGGACUUUAAUGUUAAUGUUAUGAUAUUUAACUAGUCAGUCAUCCUAUUAGUGCUUUAUCUUACUAUGAUGUGUACGUCUCAUAACAGAUAUAACUCAAAUUUUAGUGUUAUGGAUCGGUAUUGCUGGUCAUGCUGCCAAGUCUUGGAAGCUCAAUUGCUCCUGAAACUAAAAAUUUGGAAGUCUAGUUGAUAUCUGUGAUUUGUUAACUUUGAAUGAACAACUGAAUUGAAGUUGUGUUUGAUUGUUACAAUGUCUUUAUUAACUGAAAAGAGCAUAUCCUUUUUGGGUUCUGAAAGCUCAAUUUUCCAUUCCUGAUAAAUGAAAGACAUGUAGUUUUGGACAUGUAGUUCAAAUACUAAAAAGUAUAAAGUCAAUGGUAUAUGCAAUCAGUUUUCG